AGCCCAAGCGCACCAGCGACAGCCCGCGCGUCGCCUCUUGUACCACGCACGCCACCAUUCUUCUGUGUACAUCGCGCUUUUUUCUCCCACCUUCUGCGCCGCCUUUGAUGAUGAGGGACGCCCCAGUGCGUGGUGUUACGUCCCGGUAGCCCACUCUGUAUGGGAAAGCCAUACAGCCCCCUACUUGCUGACAAAUGCGGAACCACUUCUGGUGGUGGCAGGGUGGAGCGCCUACGACGGAGGGGGGGGGUCAGCGCGAUGCAUUGCCACAGAUGUCGGCGGCCAGGCCCUGGACGGCGUUGCGCCGCAGCGACCUGCAAUCGUGCACACGUUAGUGUCACCCGUAUGAUUAGGCAGAAUGCCAAGGUGACUGGAACCUGCACUACCCGGCCCCCCACGCUGCCCACUGGAGUGGGGAGCCUGAGCCGCCCCGAGGGACGCACCAGGUGGGCGACUGGCAUAGUGGGGGAGCGGCUGUGAGGCGACCUGCGAAGCUGGUGUGGGCAGGGCUUAAGGCGGGGAGGCCGUGCUCUUCGACGACUGAGUCGGCGCGUUGCUGAAACGUUGGUGUCUGGCACUGCUUCGCACGACUGGAUGGGACCGUGAGAGGCCGGGGAGGGGUCGAGCCCGACUCAUGCGCUAUAGCAGUGUAGUCAUGCUCAAGUAAUUGGCGAGUGCACACAGAAAGUUACUGUCAGAGUCAAUGCUUCGCGUGCGUAGCCUUUCCUGUUCGCAGUUGGCUCACAACCUGACGCUCUCGAUCUUCGAGCCGGUUGCGAACCACCGGGCGACCCGGAUCGUGUGCACUAUCGGCCCUAGCACGCAGAGCGUGGAGGCGCUGAAGGGACUGAUUCAGAGCGGCAUGUCUGUUGCGCGCAUGAACUUCUCGCAUGGGUCACACGAGUACCACCGGACGACAAUCAACAAUGUGCGCCAGGCCGCCGCGGAGCUCGGUGUGAAUAUCGCGAUCGCGCUGGACACAAAGGGGCCCGAGAUUCGGACGGGACAGUUCGUUGGUGGCGAGGCCGUGAUGGAGCGAGGCGCGACAUGCUACGUGACGACAGACCCUGCGUUUGCUGACAAGGGCACCAAGGACAAGUUCUACAUCGACUACCAGAACCUGUCGAAGGUGGUGCGCCCUGGCAGCUACAUCUACAUCGACGACGGCAUCCUGAUCCUGCACGUGCAGAGCCACGAGGACGAGCAGACGCUGAAGUGCACGGUGACUAACGCGCACACGAUCUCUGACCGACGCGGUGUGAACCUGCCGGGGUGCGACGUGGACCUGCCGGCUGUGUCGGCGAAGGACUGCGCGGACCUGCAGUUUGGCGUGGAGCAGGGCGUGGACAUGAUCUUCGCGUCGUUCAUCCGGAGCGCGGAGCAGGUGGGCGAGGUGCGGGAGGCGCUUGGCGCGAAGGGACGUGACAUCAUGAUCAUCUGCAAGAUCGAGAACCACCAGGGCGUGCAGAACAUCGACUCUAUCAUUGAGGAGAGCGACGGCAUCAUGGUUGCGCGCGGCGACCUCGGUGUUGAGAUCCCAGCGGAGAAGGUGGUGGUUGCGCAGAAGAUCCUGAUCAGCAAGUGCAACGUUGCCGGCAAGCCGGUCAUCUGCGCGACGCAGAUGCUGGAGAGCAUGACGUACAACCCCCGCCCGACGCGCGCUGAGGUAUCGGAUGUCGCUAACGCUGUCUUCAACGGUGCGGAUUGCGUGAUGCUGUCUGGUGAGACGGCGAAGGGCAAGUAUCCGAAUGAGGUGGUUCAGUACAUGGCGCGCAUCUGCCUAGAGGCGCAGAGCGCCGUUAACGAAUACGUCUUCUUCAACAGCAUCAAAAAACUGCAGCCCAUCCCGAUGAGUGCUGAGGAGGCUGUUUGCAGCAGUGCCGUGAACUCUGUGUAUGAGACCAAGGCCAAGGUAAUGGUGGUGCUGAGCAACACCGGCCGCAGCGCUCGACUGGUGGCGAAGUACCGUCCGAACUGCCCGAUUGUGUGUGUGACGACGCGUCUGCAGACGUGCCGCCAGCUGAACAUCACACAAGGCGUGGAGAGUGUUUUCUUUGAUGCAGAAAAGCUCGGCCACGAUGAGGGCAAGGAGCAGCGCGUGGCCAUGGGUGUUGGAUUCGCCACGUCGAAGGGCUAUAAACUGUCCGGAGCCCUGGUGGCCAUUGUCGAUAUUCUACGUUGGUGGGGCUGCCGCGUAGGUCAGUCCACCAUCAUCGAGCUGAAGUGACGUUUUGGCGAACUCAUUUUCUCCCUAUCUCUCCGAAUCUUUGUGAGGACGGGAUACUACAUAGGUCUUCUUAUUUUCAUUCCUGGCUACCGCGAUGAGAUCUGCGGGGCUUACAG
rnacentral:misc_RNA from 1 species